UCCAUUACAGAUAAAUAGGAUUUACAAGCCCCAGGAAGCACUUGAGAAGUCUUCAAAUGCCACAGCCAACUGCUAUUUCAAAGAAAACAAAAUAGAUGGUUCUAGAAAGUCCAUGCUGUUUCUUCACUGAAUUUUAGAAUGAUUGAAGAUAGUGGGAAAAGAGGAAACACCAUGGCAGAGAGAAGACAGCUGUUUGCAGAGAUGAGGGCUCAAGAUCUGGAUCGCAUCCGCCUUUCCACCUACAGAACAGCAUGCAAGCUGAGAUUCGUACAGAAGAAAUGCAACUUGCACCUGGUGGACAUUUGGAACGUCAUCGAAGCGCUGCGGGAAAACGCUUUGAACAACCUGGACCCAAACAUAGAGCUCAACGUGGCCCGCCUGGAGGCCGUGCUCUCCACUAUGUUCUACCAGCUCAACAAGAGGAUGCCAAGCACUCAUCAAAUCCACGUGGAGCAGUCCAUCAGCCUCCUGCUGAACUUCCUGCUCGCAGCCUUUGACCCGGAGGGCCAUGGUAAAAUCUCAGUAUUUGCUGUCAAGAUGGCUUUGGCUACAUUGUGUGGAGGGAAGAUCAUGGACAAGUUAAGAUAUAUUUUCUCAAUGAUCUCUGACUCCAGUGGAGUGAUGGUUUAU
rnacentral:lncRNA from 1 species